UUUCAUGGCGGUUGUGCGUGGGAGACUUUCGAGUCUGCCGGGUGUCGGUCAUCGCUCGGUCUGCGAACCCGCGUACAGCUGCCACCCAA
rnacentral:antisense_RNA from 1 species